CAGAUCCCUUCUAGACCACCACGCCACACCACCAGAUCCCAUCGUCGCCGCCUCGCACUCGCAUCCCAUCGCCGCCGCCCGUGCGUUCUCGAUCGGAGAGGACGCUCCCUUCGACGCCGCUGAGAUCCGAGAAGAGUCGCCCUUCGCCGGCGCCAAGAUCCUGUGCCUCUCUAAAGACCCCUCUCUCUCGCGACACCGCCUCCCUUACAAGGACGGCACGCCAUGGGUCUCCAUCGGUGCCACGACUGCCGCGGCCUCCCCACCUGCCGACGCUCUAGAUCCGGCCGUAGUUGAUUCCCUGUACAUCAUCUCAAGGAGGAGGGGCGUGAGGCGGUUGCCGCCGCCGGUGGCUGCACUUGAAGGUCUCCGCCGCUUGCUCCAACUAGAUCCAGCCAGACCGUCCUGUGGUGGUCCACGUGCAUCUGGACGGACGCAACGGCUUUGCCUCCCCUGUCCCAUGUCUUCGUCCACCACACCAUCCCAAUGCGGUAAUAAAUCUCUAGCCAUGCCCUUUUCCUUGAUAUGAACUACAAAAUUUCUGUUCUGUUAUAUCUUGGUGAAUGUCUCGUCAAUUGCCAUACAAAUACAUGUGUGCUUCUCCUGUCGUGCAUUUGAUGGGUAAGCUGCUGCUACCCGGGCUCACAUGACCCCGUGGAGGAAGGAGCUGCGCAUGGAAUCACUUCCAAAAGACUCAAGACGAGUUUGGAGUGUCCUGGAUUCCAGACCAUGUUCGCGCCGGGGCUCACGGAGGAAAACCUGAUGUUCCUAGAGGCCUGACGCACGGUCGAUCACACUUACUACGACAUGUCCUCCAACGGGUGGAGCUGGUUCAGCUUUGGAUCAGGACUAACCUCUAGCGAGGAAAGAACCUGAAUCCCUAGGUGAGAGGCACCUUGUCCCUUAAUAGUAGAGAUGUGAACAAGUACUUUUCUUUAUUUUGCUUCUUACUCACAAGUAGUUUCAUUCAAUGUGCUUACGUGAGAUGUGAACCCACAAAUUCAGUGAGCUGGGAACUCAAAAUUCCAAUGAGGUGCGAGAUGCAGCAAAUUAUACUCAUCGUAUGUCUCGUUAUUAUUGUUGUUGUAUCGUUUUAUUCCCAGUCAACGGCAGCGGCGGUGCCCACGUCUGCGUCAUCAGUGCUGCUAAGGGGCGCCUCACCCUGUUCGGCAUUAUCUUCUUUUCUUCCUAUGGCUGCAAGAACCCUCACCAUGGCUAUGGCAGAUGCGACAGAUAAAGCAGGCGGUCAUCUUCUCUCCUUUCUCUUUUACCAUUAGAGAAUUUUAGCCAAGCCUGCUGAGUAACACAAAGCUAUUAUACGCGUUCAAUGGAAUAUCCGCAAUGCCAACAAUAUUGUGAGUAAAAAUGAACAAGAGUAACAUGCAUUGGAUGGCUCAAUUGUUUGUUGAACUAGGUUCGGUUUAGCUUGCUCUCAGCAAUACAAAUUUUCCCACACCUCAUGUGUUCAAAGAUGGUGAUUUCAAGAAUUUGUCAAGUUCAACAAAUCAUGCUUCUGUUUAUAGAAACUUAAAGAACAACAUACAUGUAUUUUUUUUGCUUAAUCACUUUAUUGUUCAUUACUCUCGAUCACCACCGGAGAAGGCGAUACUCAAAUUUGUGGCUGGGUGCAUCCGCGGAAGUACUUGCUGAUCUUACCAUGUCAGGUUGUCCUUUGCCCCUCUUAGAUGUUGUAAUGUGUUCUUCACAUGUGACAACACUAAGUGAACCAUUUUGGGCUUCAUUUGCAUUCUAGCAUGGUGGUCUCUCCUAUAGCUAGCUAUAAAUGUUGGCAGUUUCUUCCUUUUUCUUUGGUGUUGUUUAUUUACUGAAAAGAGUGUUUUUCUUGGUUUAGUAUUACCUAACAUAGUCAUCUCUACUAUUAAAGGAGAAUCGAACGUCGUGAUGGUUCGACCACCACCUCCCCUCGUUCGAUCUCCUCUCCCACCCCCUCGUACGAGCCCACGCAUGCAACGAGCCAAGGCCUAUUAUUUUCCCUCGUGCAACCCUUCCUCCAACCCAGCCCGCGGAUGCUCCAGGCCCCAGCCACGUUCGGAAAGAAAGUUCCCACGACCCACGAAGUCACGAACACAUGCCCCCCACGCUCCAUUCUCCCCCACGUCAGCUCCCAAUCACGUCUCUCUCGCCAGACCUGAGAAAUUUCGCCGCCGCCGCUCUACUCCUCAUUCGCCCCUCGUGGUCGUCAUGGCCACAGUCCUGGUCAUGGGAGCACGGCCGCCGGGAUGGCGUACGUGCUGGAGCUCGGCCGCCGGGAUGGGGUAUGGGCUGGGAGCUCGUUCACCAGGAUGGGGACAGUGUGGGAGCGUGGUGUGGGAUUGGGGCGAAAUUCGCCGCCGCCGCCGCUCCUCUCAUUCACCAUGUGAGUUUCCUUUUCUAUUGGUUGACUUUCACGUCUCCGGCAAGGGUAGCGAGGUAGUCGAUCAGGGCGGCGAUGGCGAGGAACGUCGGUGUGGAUGGUGCGGCGGCGGCAUCCUCAUCGCGGGAGACACUGACAUCGAUCGAUCCCUUGAACCCGCCUUCCUGCACUCCAAUGAUGCAACACGCCCAUGCCGCCUCUCCUCCCUCUAAGGCCGAUCUACUCAACGCGUCAAGGUUGUGGAGCACACAUUCUCGAUCAGACGUCCCGCGGGCAUUCUGUUAACUUGCAGGAUAUACUCACACAGGUAUAAUUUGGCGAAUUGGCUUAUGGUAGACGACCUUUUCAUUAGCUAUGCUCAGAUCAAGUUGUACUACUGAGGUAGCAGUAAUUAAUGAUGCUGUAGUUAGUUGUAAUCAAUGAGGAAAAACAGGUCUGGGUCGUAUUGUGUUAUACCGAAAACCAUUGAAAAAUAACAAUUUCAGAAAUAUUGACUUGCAUAUUAGAUUGUUUAUUGUAUACAAAUCUAUAUCCAGAUCAGUUGUAGCAGUUAUACUUCAUAUCGGAAAUAUUGACAUUGCCAAUGAAACAUAAGAUGAUUCGUCUGGGAGACCGUAAUUAAGGAUGAUAGUCCAGUUUCACGUUAAGUCUGCGGCAAAGCUAUUGGAGUGAAUACAUUUUGAUGUAACUGCAAUAACUUCAUUCCUCCACACUUCUUUUGGGAGGCAGAUGGCCUUGAUGCCGUAGCAUGAGUUGGUGUUGGCCAUAUGUAGUAAGAUGUAUUGAUAUUCAGAUAUUCUAUGCUUUCCAAUACCUCUAUAUAUGGCCUGACAUCUACACAUAUCAAUUUUGCUUCUUUUUCUUAAAUUUAUCUCUUGACUUCUCUUCCAGUGCCAUUGCAAUAUUUCCAUUUUCACUUUACAUUAGUAGAAAUAAAUUGUGCCUCUUAGUCAUGAGAUAGUAUUGAUCGCCAUGCUCUUAUGGUGAUUAUCUGGCAAGUGUUUUAUUUCAAAUGUUGUGUUGUAGUUCAGAUCUUGACAAGGUUGAUCAUAUCUUGGAUUUAAUCUUGCUUAGCUAUUUGAAACAAGUAACUUAUAUAGUUCCAUGUUCCGCUUCUACUACAGUUAGCAUUGGCAACGCCAACUGGUUGGUGAUACUUCAUGUGAGGUUGAUGAGGCAGCACGAGGAGUUUGAUAUUCUACUGGAUGCUCGACUAUUGGAAAGGCAUGUUCUCUAAAAUUUUCGUGUAUUGGAGUCCUUUUCAGUUUGUGUUCUUAGUGAUGUGUACAUCUUUGAAGAGACUAAAUAUAUGGGUGAUUUUAUUUAUCAGCAGUGCAGCCGUUGACGGAUUUAAUUUAUGUUCGCUUACUCCAAUAAGGGUUCACGUCGAGAUUGAUUUUGGGAGACCUGCGUGGGAUGCUCGACUCUGGCUUGAGCCUCUGAAGUUGUUCCCCACAACCUGAAGAUGUGAACUACGCUGCUGCUCCCGUUGGUCAUGCUGCUAGCUUUGCAUGCUAUGGAGUUUCUGUCCCUACCUACGAUAUUAAAGGCCAUAAAUCGGGUUAAGACCAUAGACUAGAGUCUCCUAUGAAUUUGACUCCGAUGGUGGGGAUCCCAUUUCGGUGAAAUCAUGUUGUUAUAACUUGAACACACCAGGAAGACAAGGGAGUAGUCGUUCCUUGGACUGGCAUUUUUUUUUACGACGGCAUUGGCAUGGAUGAUCAGUACAAGUGCUAUUGGGGAUUCUCUCGACCUGGCUCCUCCAGCUUCACUGGAUGAUGAAAGUUUCAGUCAAAUGAGUUUAUUAUGUAUUUGACAUGAGAUGAUCCAAAAAGAGAUGGAUGAAAUGCUGCUGAGACUUUACAAGAUAUUCCAGCAGAGGCAUCCUUACCGUCCGCAUUACAAGGAUAUGAGAACAUUGGGGUCCUGAAGAAUGCAGGCCGUUGUGAUGUUUUGGGGAAAAUUAGCAGAUGCCCUUGACGCAGACAAGCUACAACGGUGGUUCUAUUUGUUGGCAUGCCAGUACAUGAAUUUAAUGAAACUUGGCCUUCAAGUCCUGUCUGGCAACUCGAUGGUACAUAAAUCCAACUAUUUCUGAAGUGGCAACUAUUCUAGGAAGAUUACUGCAAGAUCCCAUCAAAUUGAGAUAAGCACCGGCUCACAGGGUCAUCGCUAGGCAACAAAUACAACAAUCACAUAAUUAUCAGCCGUUGACCUUGGUGGAAUCAUGGACCAGUACUAUAGACUAGAAAUAAAGAGAACUGAAGUGUCCCCUUCCAUGGCGUUGGGGGGCCUUUCUCUGCCAGGCGCGGCGGCUCCUUGGUAGAAUGAUGCAGCUGGCUCGGCGGAGGUUAGGAGGCUCGUCGGCCGGCAUUUCGUUGAUGCAUGGGUGCCAUAUUGCGAUGGAACGGCAGUAUAACAUACAAAACUUUGACGAGGCUCAUCUGCUUCAAAAUUUCAUAAUAAGUCCAAUCAAACAAUUUGAAACUUUGGUGUUGUCACAUUGGAGUCCAUGCUGAGCAGUAAUGGUAGACUGUCGUUGAUGCCCGACCCAUGAUGCCGACGAAGGAACGAGAGUCGACGAGGAGUAGAUGCCAUGGGUUUGUGAACUGGCCAAGCCACCGUUGUCCGUUUGGUAAUGUCCGAUGCAUCAGAGGCAUAGUAUGACUUGCCCCGACUUUGACGUCGUCUACCAACAUCCGACGAAGGGAACCCGUCCCGGUUUCCAUCUUGAUGUUGUUGAGCUCUGCACUACAAAACUGAGAAAGACCCAUAACUUUUUACAGGAUCGUUUCUACAGACUACAAAUAGAGGGAAGUUGGCUUGUGCCUUACUAUAGACAGAUGAACCAAUAAAAUGAUUGGAAAGGCUCUUUCCAAGCAUAAGAGGAGCUUUUGAAGGGACUGAAGAACCGGAACCUCCCCUCCUCCCUCCCGCGACGCUCCCGCAGGCGUCCGAGGGGCAACCCUAGCACCGCCGUCGGUCCCCCCUCCCUCGCCAUCGCCCGGGGGCGCCCGCUCGUCGUUGGCGGCGGCAGGGCCUUCUCGUCUCCGCGCAUGGGGGUUUCGGCGCAAACCGGACGCCUCUGGCCGGAUGCGG